rnacentral:rRNA from 1 species
UACGUAGGGUGCAGGCGUUAAUCGGAAUUACUGGGCGUAAAGCGUGCGCAGGCGGUUUGCUAAGACAGGUGUGAAAUCCCCGGGCUUAACCUGGGAACUGCGCUUGUGACUGCAUAGCUAGAGUACGGUAGAAGGGGAUGGAAUUCCGCGUGUAGCAGUGAAAUGCGUAGAUAUGCGGAGGAACACCGAUGGCGAAGGCAAUCCCCUGGACCUGUACUGACGCUCAUGCACGAAAGCGUGGGGAGCAAACAGG